rnacentral:ncRNA from 1 species
UUGGGGUGCCAGAAGUGCAGGUGGCCUUUCUGAGCUGAGAAAAUACCCAGGAACCUGAUCCGGGUAAUGCCGGCGGAGGAAAAGGAGA